rnacentral:rRNA from 1 species
AGUGGCGGACGGGUGAGUAACGCGUAAGAAUCUAACUUCAGGACGGGGACAACAGUUGGAUACGACUGCUAAUACCCGAUGUGCCGCAAGGUGAAACCUAAUUGGCCUGAAGAAGAGCUUGCGUCUGAUUAGCUAGUUGGUGGGGUAAGAGCCUACCAAGGCGACGAUCAGUAGCUGGUCUGAGAGGAUGAGCAGCCACACUGGGACUGAGACACGGCCCAGACUCCUACGGGAGGCAGCAGUGGGGAAUUUUCCGCAAUGGGCGAAAGCCUGACGGAGCAACGCCACGUGAGGGAGGAAGGUCUUUGGAUUGUAAACCUCAUUUCUCAAGGAAGAAGUUCUGACGGUACUUGAGGAAUCAGCCUCGGCUAACUCCGUGCCAGCAGCCGCGGUAAUACGGGGGAGGCAAGCGUUAUCCGGAAUUAUUGGGCGUAAAGCGUCCGCAGGUGGUCAGCCAAGUCUGCCGUCAAAUCAGGUUGCUUAACGACCUAAAGGCGGUGGAAACUGGCAGACUAGAGAGCAGUAGGGGUAGCAGGAAUUCCCAGUGUAGCGGUGAAAUGCGUAGAGAUUGGGAAGAACAUCGGUGGCGAAAGCGUGCUACUGGGCUGUAUCUGACACUCAGGGACGAAAGCUAGGGGAGCGAAAGGGAUUAGAUACCCCUGUAGUCCUAGCCGUAAACGAUGGAUACUAGGCGUGGCUU